CUGUACUUUCUGCAAGGGGCCUCACAUUCACAGCUCCUUCAAAUUCCACCUUCCUGCUGCUCACAGUAAAUACUGGCAAUUUCCUGUUGUUUAGUCCAAGACCCUUUUAUAGGGCCCUGCUCCUCCCCUACGCUAAACCCACCUCCUCUCCCCAGCCAAUAGCCGUUGUCACCUCCUCACAUGGUGUGGGAGUGGAGCAUGCUCAACAGAAAGUGAGACCAAAACCAUGGAGGAGUCAACUUUGCAGCUCCCAACAAAACAAGUCAAGUCUACUCUGGCUGCUGUUGGACUUAGAAGAAAGGCUAUGUAGGCUGGAGUGUCCAGCAACAGGUAGACGAGUAGGAACUACACAGAAUUAGAAAAAAUAAGUAAUGCAGCACUCCAAGAGGAACAACAGAUACUACAGAGAAGCAUAAAGAAUUAUGUUGACCUUGUCAUGUCACAUUUUUGCACAAUUUCUUAAAAGCUUUGGACAAAAGUUCCUGUGUGUUCUCACUGAGAAACAGAGAGCAGUGGGAUUUGCCAUAUUCUGCCACUUUUCUGGCCAAAGCCUGAUGGAAUGGGAUCUUUGCUUCUUCAAAGAGGGCUUUAGAUGCCAAGUCCCGCGUCCUCGUAGGUGUCUUGGUUUCACUGGGACGUCACCCGAGGGCACCUAAACACCUUUGAGGACGUGGCCCUACGGGUCAGCCCUUUCCAAG